AGGCAUAGUCUCGCUCUGUCAGCAGGCUGGAUGGAGUGCAGUGAUCUCAGCUCACUGCAACCGCCACCUCCCGGGUUCAAGCGAUUCCCUGACUCAGCCUGUAGUCCAGUAGCUGGGACUACAGGCAUGCGCCACCUUGCCCGGCUAAUUUUUUUUUUUUGGAUUUUAGUAGAGACAGGGUUUCACCAUGUUGGCCAGGAUGGUCUUGAUCUCCUGACCUUGUGAUUACCCCACCUCGGCCUCCCAAAGUGCUGGGAUUACAAGUGUGAGCCACCGCACCCGGCCUUCUUCACCAUUUUUAAGUGAACAUUCACAUCGCUGUCAAUCGUCACCAUCAUCUCCAGAACUCUUUUUGUCUUGCUAAACUGAAACACUGUAUCCAUUAAACAACAACUCUCCAUUCCUGACUUCCCCCAGUUCCUGGCAAUUUCCGUUCUACUUUCUGUUUCUAUGAACGUGACUGUUCUAUGUACUUCAUACGAGUGGAAUCAUACAGUAUUUAUCUUUUUGUGACUUGUUUAUUUCACUUAGCAUAAUGUCUUCAAGGUUCAUCCAUGUUGUAGAAUGUGUCCAAAUUUCCUUCCUUUUUAAGGCUGAAUAAUAUCCCAAUUACAUGUAUAUACCACAUUUUGUUCAUUCAUUCAUUCAUUCAUUUAUUCCUUCAAAGACACUUGGGUUGCAUCCACUUUUUGGUUAUUGUGAAUAUUGCUGCUGUGAAGAUAGUUGCACAAAUGCCUGAUUGAGUCCCUGCUUUUACUUCUUUUGGUUAUACACCCAGAAGCAGAAUUGCUAAGAUUGUGUGGUAAUUUUAUUUUUAGUUUUUUGAGUAAUUGCCAUACGUUUAAGUAGUAAUUACUUAAAGGUUAGUUGCAAUGUGGAAUCUGAAACCAUAUUAAUGAACUUUUGUGACCUGUUACAUUAAAAUUCAUUGGUCUGCCUUGCACAUUGAAUAAAUCUUUAACCCACACAUGAUUCUUCAGUUUGUAUGGGCCAUUUGAAAAAGACUGGUUCACUGAGUUAUGUAGCUUUUCCAAAUAACAGUCCAUCUUUAAUAUAAUAUAAAACAAUCAGAUUCAUUAAUAUUGCCCCUCAUAUCAUCAGAAAAAUCUUCAAAGUAUUGCAAGCUGUUAAGUUCAUGGUGGCUGAUACAAUUCUGAUUUUUAUUUGAAAGCGUGUAUUUUAUCUUUGGCAACAAAUGCUGCCAAUUGUUUUCCUUGAAGUGACAGCCUCACUUUGUUCAUUUUCAAGAAUGUGUCUAACACUUACUCAAGUCCUAAUCACGAUAAUUUGUAGUUUUUUAAGUAAUAAUGAUAUCUACAGGGGUAGGAAAAAACUAUUUUGAGAAUAGUUUGGAUUUCACAGACUUCCUGCAAGUUGUCUUGCGGAUGGCCAGAGGCUAUGAGCUGUCAUUUGAGAACCACUGUGUAAAUACAAUGCUGCUUGGCUGAAAAUUCAUACACAUACUAAACACAUAUGUAUAGUAUGUAUCUUAUUUGUUAAGAAAACUUAUUUUCACUAUUCAAAAAUAACAUAGAUCUAUAAGUGAAAAUUCACUGAAGCAAACAUAUGACAAUAAAAAUCAGCAGUAAUCUCAUCAUCCAUGAAAUAGCUAUAAUUAUUUAUUUAUUUGUUUGUUUGUUUUGAGACAGAGUCUCUCUCUGUCACCCAGGCUGGAGUGCAGUGGCGCCAUCUCGGCUCACUGCAAGCUCCGCCUCCCGGGUUCAUGCCAUUCUCCUGCCUCAGCCUCCCGAGUAGCUGGGACUACAGGCGUCCGCCACCACGCCCAGGUAAUUUUUUGUAUUUUUAGUAGAGAUGGGGUUUCACCGUGUUAGCCAGGAUGGUCUCAAUCUCCUGACCUCGUGAUCGGCCCGCCUCGGCCUCCCAAAGUGCUGGUAUUACAGGCGUGAGCCACCGCGCCUGGCGAAAUAGCUAUAUUUAAUAAUUUGCUACCUGUGUUUCCAGAUAGCUACCUAUAUCUAUUUAUCUACGUAUUUACCUUUUAAAAAUAAAAUCCUAUUAAACAAAUUAUUAUGUAACCUGCUUUGUUUGUAUAAUGAUAUGGGAUAAAUAUCUUCCAUGCUGUUAAACAUUAUCAUAAAGAUACUUUUUAAGAAAAGGCUUUACAUUGAAUCAUAUGGCUAUAUCAAAAUUUAUUUUUGUAUUUAUUUUUUUGAGAUGGAGUCUCACUCUGUUGCCCAGGCUGGAGUGCAAUGGAGCGAUCUUGGCUCACUGCAGCCUUUGCCUCCCAGGUUCAAGCAAUUCUCCUCCCUCAGCCUCCCGAGUAGCUGGGAUUAUAGGCAUGUGUCACCACACCCGGCUAUAUUUUUUUUGUAUUUUUAGUAGAAAAGGGGUUUCACCAUAUUGGCCAGGCUGGUCUCGAACUCCUGACCUUGUGAUCUGCCCACCUUGGCCUCCCAAAGUGCUGGGAUUACAGGCAUGAGCCACUACGCCCGGUCUCAAAAUUUAUUUUAACCAAAGCCAGGAGUUACUUGUUAUAAAAAUUCUGCAUGUAUCAUUCUUUUUUCUUUUUUCUUUUUUUAAAUUUGAGACAGGGUCUCUUUGUCACCCAGGCUGGAGUACACUGGCACGAUCUCAGCUUAUUGCAUCCUCAGCUUCCCUAGGCUUAUGUGAUCCUCCCAUCUCAGCUUCCCAAGUAGCUGGGACUACAGGUGCAUGCCAUCGUGCCCAGCUAAUUUUUGUAUUUUUUGUAGAGACGAAGUUUUGCCAUGUUGCCCAGGCUGGUCUCAAACUCCUGGCCUCAAGCAAUCUGCCUGCUUUAGCCUCUCAAAGUGCUGGAAUUACAUGCAUGAGCCACUAUGCCUGGCCCUUUCACCCACCACUUUUUAUUUUUUUAUUUUUUUUUUAGAGACGAAGUCCUACUCUGCCAUCCAGACUGGAGAAGUACAGUGGCACGAUCUAGGCUCACUGUAGCCUCCGCCUCCCGGGUUCAGGCAAUUCUCAUGCCUCAGCUUCCUGAGUAGCUGGGAUUAUAGACCUGCACCACCAUACCUGGCAAAUUUUUGUAUUUUUAGUAGAGAUGGGGUUUCACCAUGUUGGCCAGGGUGGUCUUGAACUUUUGAGCUCAAACUGAUCCACCCACCUCAGCCUCCCAAAGUGCUGGGAUUACAGGCAUGCACCACCGUGCCUGGCCACACCCACCAUUCUUAUAACUAAAUUAUUAGAUAUUUAUUACUAUUUUCUUCCAUACUAUAAAUUUUUAGAAGUAGUAUCCUGUAGAUCAUGGAAUCUUUAUGUUUUAGAAUAAAUAUGGAUGUUGUC
rnacentral:lncRNA from 1 species